UAUAUGUUGUGAAAUUCAACACUUAUGUUACUAUUUCGUUGUGAAUAUAUGUAUGGUAAGUGCAAAUGCGUGGUGUAUAAGCUAACCUAGCAGGCUAAUCGGGUAGCUGUAUGCUAUGCUAGUACGUGAGCUAACC